UAAAAUUCAAGUCUGAGGGUUCUUUUAUUAAAUUGAACUUUCUCACUUGAAAUUUUGG
rnacentral:pre_miRNA from 1 species